rnacentral:lncRNA from 1 species
CAGCAAAGUAAGACCUAAAAAUAAGUCAACAUGACCAAAAUGGUCAAUUGACCCCCUAAAGAGUUAUUGACCUUUAUAGUAAAUUUUUAACAAUUUUCAUAACAUUUGUUACUUUUUACUAACAUUUUUCACUGAAACUACUGGGCCAAGUUCAUUAUAGAUAGAAAUAAUUGUAAGCAGCAAGAAUGUUCAGUAAAGUAAGAUGUACAAACACAUCAUCAUCACCAAAACACAAUUUUGUCAUGAAUCCAUCUGUGUCCUUUGUUUCAUAUUCACAUAGACCAAGGUGAGCGACACAGGCUCUUUAGAGCCUCUAGUUUGUAUA